rnacentral:rRNA from 1 species
GACGAACGCUGGCGGCGUGCUUAACACAUGCAAGUCGAACGAUGAACCCGGAGCUUGCUCCGGCGGAUUAGUGGCGAACGGGUGAGUAACACGUGAGUAACCUGCCCUUGACUCUGGGAUAACUGCUAGAAAUGGUAGCUAAUACCGGAUACGACCCUCGGUGGCAUCACCAGGGGGUGGAAGGAAUUUCGGUCAAGGAUGGACUCGUGGCCUAUCAGCUAGUUGGUGAGGUAACGGCUCACCAAGGCGACGACGGGUAGCCGGCCUGAGAGGGUGACCGGCCACACUGGGACUGAGACACGGCCCAGACUCCUACGGGAGGCAGCAGUGGGGAAUAUUGCACAAUGGGCGCAAGCCUGAUGCAGCAACGCCGCGUGAGGGAUGACGGCCUUCGGGUUGUAAACCUCUUUUAGUAGGGAAGAAGCGAAAGUGACGGUACCUGCAGAAAAAGCACCGGCUAACUACGUGCCAGCCGCCGCCGUAA